UAGGGAAUCUUCCGCAAUGGGCGAAAGCCUGACGGAGCAACGCCGCGUGAGUGAUGAAGGUCUUCGGAUCGUAAAACUCUGUUAUUAGGGAAGAACAAACGUGUAAGUAACUAUGCACGUCUUGACGGUACCUAAUCAGAAAGCCACGGCUAACUACGUGCCAGCAGCCGCGGUAAUACGUAGGUGGCAAGCGUUAUCCGGAAUUAUUGGGCGUAAAGCGCGCGUAGGCGGUUUUUUAAGUCUGAUGUGAAAGCCCACGGCUCAACCGUGGAGGGUCAUUGGACACUGGAAAACUUGAGUGCAGAAGAGGAAAGUGGAAUUCCAUGUGUAGCGGUGAAAUGCGCAGAGAUAUGGAGGAACACCAGUGGCGAAGGCGACUUUCUGGUCUGUAACUGACGCUGAUGUGCGAAAGCGUGGGGAUCAAACAGG
rnacentral:rRNA from 1 species